rnacentral:rRNA from 1 species
AACCCUUGUCCUUAGUUACCAGCACGUUAUGGUGGGCACUCUAAGGAGACUGCCGGUGACAAACCGGGAGGAAGUGGGGAUGACGUCAAGUCAUCAUGGCCCUUACGGCCUGGGCUACACACGUGCUACAAUGGUCGGUACAAAGGGUUGCCAAGCCGCGAGGUGGAGCUAAUCCCAUAAAACCGAUCGUAGUCCGGAUCGCAGUCUGCAACUCGACUGCGUGAAGUCGGAAUCGCUAGUAAUCGUGAAUCAGAAUGUCACGGUGAAUACGUUCCCGGGCCUU